rnacentral:lncRNA from 1 species
UCCCUAUGAUAAAACAACCCUAGGGCCCUCGGGGGGACAAAAAAUCACAAAAAACCGAGACUUACCGGCGGCGGUGCUCUCGGGUGCAACGGCUCCUCCGGCGUGAGUCGCGUUUUGAUGUUUGGCUCCGAUCAACCUGUAGAGAAAAGAACGGUGAUCACAGUGGUAUAAAAUUUGCAUCGAACGGAGGCCGGGAAGGGCCUCAUCGGAGGCAAAAACAGAGGGGAGUCGCGGCGGCACCGCUGGACUUCGGCUGGGUUUUCUGGCCGUUUGGCCGGUGGUUUGGCUCCGGUUUGGCCAUAGACGGACUUAGCAU